UCCGUGCCAGCAGCCGGGGUAAUUCGGAGGGUGCGAGCGUUUAUUCGAAUUACUGGGCGUAAAGCGCAUGCAGGUGGUUUGUUAAGUCAGAUGUGAAAGCCCGGGGCUCAACUUCGGAAUUGCAUUUGAAACUGGCAAACUAGAGUACUGUAGAGGGGGGUAGAAUUUCAGGUGUAGCGGUGAAAUGCGUAGAGAUCUGAAGGAAUACCGGUGGCGAAGGCGGCCCCCUGGACAGAUACUGACACUCAGAUGCGAAAGCGUGGGGAGCAAACAGGAUUAGAUACCCUGGUAGUCCACGCCGUAAACGAUGUCUACUUGGAGGUUGUGGCCUUGAGCCGUGGCUUUCGGAGCUAACGCGUUAAGUAGACCGCCUGGGGAGUACGGUCGCAAGAUUAAAACUCAAAUGAAUUGACGGGGGCCCGCACAAGCGGUGGAGCAUGUGGUUUAAUUCGAUGCAACGCGAAGAACCUUACCUACUCUUGACAUCUACAGAAGCCAGCGGAGACGCAGGUGUGCCUUCGGGAACUGUAAGACAGGUGCUGCAUGGCUGUCGUCAGCUCGUGUUGUGAAAUGUUGGGUUAAGUCCCGCAACGAGCGCAACCCUUAUCCUUGUUUGCCAGCACUUCGGGUGGGAACUCCAGGGAGACUGCCGGUGAUAAACCGGAGGAAGGUGGGGACGACGUCAAGUCAUCAUGGCCCUUACGAGUAGGGCUACACACGUGCUACAAUGGCGCAUACAGAGGGCGGCCAACUUGCGAAAGUGAGCGAAUCCCAAAAAGUGCGUCGUAGUCCGGAUUGGAGUCUGCAACUCGACUCCAUGAAGUCGGAAUCGCUAGUAAUCGUGGAUCAGAAUGCCACGGUGAAUACGUUCCCGGGCCUUGUACACACCGCCCGUCACACCAUGGGAGUGGGCUGCAAAAGAAGUGGGUAGUUUAACCUUCGGGAGGACGCUCACCACUUUGUGGUUCAUGACUGGGGUGAAGUCGUAACAAGGUAACCG
rnacentral:rRNA from 1 species